GCAGGAGGGCACAGUGAGCUGCUGCAACUCCCUGCCUCAGCUCCUGGCACCUGCAUUGGCUGCCUGGUUUGGCAAAGCGCUGCUCUCUGCGUGGACUCCAACAGCUGAGCGAUGGUCAUAUCUCCCUCCUGAGCUCCUCCCCUUCAUUCCCCUGCAAUACAAACCCUAUUUCAACCGGGGGCAUUGCUUAAUAGGUGGAGGUGACUUUCCUCCUUGCAUUGCAUCCUAUGGUAUGAGCUGCCUGGGGAGGAUGCUGCCUUGUUUUUGCAGUGCUGCUCUGCUGUGUUGCGUGAUUGUGCGAUGUGGGGAUGCAUCACGCUGCAGCACCAGGCCCUGUGAAGAGCUGAGAGGGGGAAGUGGAGCAGGGUAAUGAAAAGAGGGCACUUUAAAUGCUCUUUGUGCUGCAACUUGUAUGCUCUUGAGGCCAGAUACGUUGCAAGUGCCCUGAUCUGCUCGAGGCGCUGAGCAGGGCUCGGUGCCUAGCAAAGCAGCAAGUCUCCAUAGGGCCAUGGGAAGCAUUUUCUGAUUUCCUCUCCUCCUCAGUUUAUACCCUCUCAUGGGAGAUGGUGGGGGGAGGUGUGAAUGCCUCCCCUGCCCGUUUCCCUUCCUGAGACUGCAGCAGAGCCUGCCCAGUGGGCGAUGCGCUCUGUGCUUGCCUUACAAGGGUCUGUCUGCUGGGAAACCCCUCCCAGUGCUGCCCUGCGUAGCCUUGGUGGCUUUUCUUUCCUCCUGUAGCCUCCAGGCAUCCAUUUGCACAUCACCAUGUGGUGCAGAGCGCUGGUGCUGGGGCUGAAGGUCUCCUCCAUGGCUUGAGAUCAGAAAUAUAUUUCUGCUGCUGUCUUUGGCCUCGUGCUGUUCCAUCUCGUGUCACUGCAGUGCGUUCUAGGAGAAGGAAGCAUCUUUUUGGAAGGGGUUAGAGAGCCAGGCUGGGAAUGAAGUCUGAGCGCUGCCUGCCUUGGAACUGGGACUUUUUACUGCAGCCAGCAAGCUCCUCACCUCACCCUUUCAGAAGUGUCUGGUACAGCUUUGUCUGCAGUGAGCUCAGGGUCGAGCUCAUCCUCCUGUGCGUGCUAACAGCUGCCUCUGUGACCUCCCGACCAUUUUCUCUGGCUGGUGGCUGUUCCAGGGCACGCUUGGUAAUGGGCCAUAUAGAUCAAUGUGUGAUAGUUCCCCUCACUGCAUUAGAAAUUUGGAAAGUAAUUGCACUAGGGAAAGCAGAGAUUAAUUAAGAGAUUAGUCAGGGGAUUGCAGUGUGCUGAGCAGCAAACCGAGCCAGUGUGUUGGAGUUCGCCGUUGCUGUUUAUAGCUUUAAUUACACUGGCUGGUAACGGGAUCCUGUAACUUGCUGAGUGAGCUG